UACAGAGGUCUCAAGCGUUGUUCGGAUUCAUUGGGCGUAAAGGGUGUGUAGGUGGCGCGCUAAGUCGGGUGUGAAAUUUCGGAGCUUAACUCCGAAACUGCAUUCGAUACUGGCGUGCUUGAGGACUGGAGAGGAGACUGGAAUUCAUGGUGUAGCAGUGAAAUGCGUAGAGAUCAAUGAGGAAGACCAGUGGCGAAGGCGGGGUCUCUGGACAGUUCCUGACACUGAGACACGAAGGCCAGGGGAGCAAACGGG
rnacentral:rRNA from 1 species